rnacentral:rRNA from 1 species
UAGCAAUACAGGAGGCAGGCGCGUGGCGAACGGGUGCGUAACACGUGGAUAACCUUCCUUUAGGUGGGGAAUAACCCAGUGAAAAUUGGGCUAAUACCGCAUAACAUGACGAUGGCACAUGCUGUUGUCUUCAAAGCCGCAAGGCGCCAGAAGAGGGAUCCGCGGCCGAUUAGCUUGUUGGCGAGGUAAUGGCUCACCAAGGCAAUGAUCGGUAGCCGGUCUGAGAGGAUGAUCGGCCACACUGGAGCUGAGACACGGUCCAGACUCCUACGGGAGGCAGCAGUGGGGAAUCUUGCGCAAUGGGCGAAAGCCUGACGCAGCAACGCCGCGUGGGGGAUGAAGCUUCUCGGAGUGUAAACCCCUUUCGACCCGGACGAAUGCCCGCAAGGGUUUGACGGUACGGGUAUAAGAAGCCCCGGCUAACUACGUGCCAGCAGCCGCGGUAAAACGUAGGGGGCCAGCGUUGCUCGGAAUUACUGGGCGUAAAGGGUCCGUAGGCGGUGUGGCAAGUCGGAAGUGAAAUCUCUGGGCUUAACUCAGAGGCUGCUCCCGAAACUGCUGUGCUAGAGUGCGAGAGAGGCGAGUGGAAUUGCGGGUGUAGCGGUGAAAUGCGUAGAUAUCCGCAGGAACAUCCGAGGCGAAGGCGGCUCGCUGGAUCGCAACUGACGCUGAGGGACGAAAGCUA